GAGCGUAUAGCUCAGUGGUAGAGCGCAUGCUUAGCAUGCACGAGGUCCUGGGUUCAAUCCCCAGUACCCCUG
rnacentral:tRNA from 1 species